rnacentral:rRNA from 1 species
GACGAACGCUGGCGGCGUGCUUAACACAAGCAAGUCGAACGGAAAGGCCCUGCUUUUGUGGGGUGCUCGAGUGGCGAACGGGUGAGUAACACGUGAGUAACCUGCCCUUGACUUUGGGAUAACUUCAGGAAACUGGGGCUAAUACCGGAUAGGAGCUCCUGCUGCAUGGUGGGGGUUGGAAAGUUUCGGCGGUUGGGGAUGGACUCGCGGCUUAUCAGCUUGUUGGUGGGGUAGUGGCUUACCAAGGCUUUGACGGGUAGCCGGCCCGAGAGGGUGACCGGCCACAUUGGGACUGAGAUACGGCCCAGACUCCUACGGGAGGCAGCAGUGGGGAAUAUUGCACAAUGGGCGGAAGCCUGAUGCAGCAACGCCGCGUGCGGGAUGACGGCCUUCGGGUUGUAAACCGCUUUCGCCUGUGACGAAGCGUGAGUGACGGUAAUGGGUAAAGAAGCACCGGCUAACUACGUG